rnacentral:rRNA from 1 species
GGGCUUGACAUCCCACGAACCUGGAAACAUGGUCUUCCACUUCGGUGGACCGGGUGACAGGUGCUGCAUGGCUGUCGUCAGCUCGUGUCGUGAGAUGUUGGGUUAAGUCCCGCAACGAGCGCAACCCUUGCCUUUAGUUGCCAUCAUUUAGUUGGGCACUCUAAAGGGACUGCCGGUGUUAAACCGGGGGAAGGUGGGGACGACGUCAAGUCCUCAUGGCCUUAUGCCCAGGGCUACACACGUGCUACAAUGGGCGGCACAAAGGGCAGCGACACUGCGAGGUGAAGCAAAUCCCAAAAAACCGCUCUCAGUUCGGAUCGGAGUCUGCAACUCGACUUCGUGAAGGUGGAAUCGCUAGUAAUCGUGGAUCAGCAUGCCACGGUGAAUACGUUCCCGGGCCUUGUACGCACCGCCCGUCACACCACGAAAGCCAGCUGUACUCGAAGUCGCUGAG